GAUGAACGCUGGCGGCGUGCUUAACACAUGCAAGUCGAACGAAGCACUUUAUUUGAUUUCCUUCGGGACUGAUUAUUUUGUGACUGAGUGGCGGACGGGUGAGUAACGCGGGGGUAACCUGCCUUGUACAGGGGGAUAACAGUUGGAAACGGCUGCUAAUACCGCAUAAGCGCAAAGCAUCGCAUGAUGCAGUGUGAAAAACUCCGGUGGUAUAAGAUGGACCCGCGUUGGAUUAGCUAGUUGGUGAGGUAACGGCCCACCAAGGCGACGAUCCAUAGCCGACCUGAGAGGGUGACCGGCCACAUUGGGACUGAGACACGGCCCAAACUCCUACGGGAGGCAGCAGUGGGGAAUAUUGCACAAUGGGCGAAAGCCUGAUGCAGCGACGCCGCGUGAGCGAAGAAGUAUUUCGGUAUGUAAAGCUCUAUCAGCAGGGAAGAUAAUGACGGUACCUGACUAAGAAGCACCGGCUAAAUACGUG
rnacentral:rRNA from 1 species